CUCGGGAAGGAUGGCUAUGCACAUCUUACUACCAUCUAGUACUUUGCUGUGGCCCAAAUGCAGCCGAGCUGACUAACAGUGUAUUAAAACCUCCAAAAUUAUGAGCCAAGAUCAGCCUUUGCUCUUUUAAGUGUAUUAUCUCUGUCGGGCUAUUACAGUGGCAGGAAGCCGACCACCACACUCACAGUGCCUCUUCCCAGAUUAUCAGCCUUGGCUGAUCUGGAAUUUAAGAGGUCCUCCUGCCUCUGCAUCCUGAGUGCUGGGUUUAAAAGCUUGGACCACCACAGGGCCAGAACACUUUUUUUUUUUUUUUUUUUGUGGUAACUUUGUUUCCACUGUGAGGUGAGGAUGAAGCCUGAGGAAUCAGACAGGCCAGGGCACUGUGUCGAAGGUUGACUGUGAAUUGUUCUCACAGGCGUUGUGUUUGAACACUUGGUCCUGACAUUGGUGUUAUUCUGGGAGGUUGUAUAAACUUCAGGGAGGUGGAGCCUAGCUAGUUCUUAUAUGUUAGUCUACCCUCGCUUGUCCUCUGCUUCCUGGUCUACCAAAAUGUAAGAUGCCUACCACACAUUCAAGCCCGAUGUGGAUGGAGCCACUCAUUCAUGACUUCCUCACCAUUAACUACAUCCUUCUGAGCUGCUCUCUUCAGCUAUUUGGACACUGACGGAAAGAGUAAUUAAUACCUCUGUAAUCAUCCUGUCUCCAAGUUUUGUGUCUCUCAUUAGGAGGAUCUCUCUGUUCUGUGGGCCACCUGACUUGGCCACCAGAAAGCAUCCAUCCCCUGUCAAUCCAGGAUGUCAGAGGAUACUCCCUGAACAGAAUUCAAAAAGCCAGUGACAAGCCUAUGCUGACCAUGUCUACUGAGAUCUACAACCAUGUUCUUAGUUCUGAUGAAAAUCAGUGGGCUUCUAACUGAGCAAGGCAUAUUCUCUGAUAUGAUAAUGUUGUGUCUGUGAUUAAAAAGAGGAUCACAUUGUGGGUUUGGUAAGGAAAAAAACAGACUUAUUUCCAAGGUUUAAAGGUUUAUCUUUUGCAGAGAGAAAAAGAAAAGAUAUCAAUGAAAAAUGAUCAUGCCUUGUGAACAGAAGGAACCAGUCCUGGUUUCAAAAUAAUGAUGAAGAUUUAGGAUUGCAAAUCCGUGGUUUAAAGAUGACGAUUUGAUAAUAGCAUGCCAGUGGGACGAUCAGACCCUUAACUGCUCCCUUAUGGUGAGGCAAUGUCUCUAUUCAAAUGAACAUCUUGUAUUGAGUGUUUAAAGCUCUCUUCUUUUCUCCUCCCCAUUAUUUAGGUUUUUUUCCCCCUCAAUUGUUCAGCAUAACUAAAGAGUCUUAAGCAGGGAAUUGCACAUAAUUAUAGGUUCUGCACCAGUGGCAAAGUGAUGUUUCUUCUUAAGUAUUCAAAAUCAUCAACUUUACUCUUCUUCCCUCCAUUGGACAAUUGAGUUUAAAUGGCAAGAGUGUCCUCUUGCUACCUUUGAAAGCAUCAUUUGGCCUCACUCUGUGCAGAUUACAAACAUAUCAAAAACUACAAUAUACUCUCCAUGUAGAAACAGAAGAUACCCCUAUACACAAAUGGGGUAAAAGAAGGAAUAUCUGAGCUCAGUUUUGUCUGCUAGUAAGGCAAGGAGCUUUAAGAGCUGAAAGUCCCUGAGUCCACUGGACAGGUCGUGGCCUCCAAGUUCCAGCAGAGAGGCUACCGUGUGCUGUCAGGUGAGAACUCUGCAGCACCAGCCAUGGCCCUCUCCACCUCUUCUCUAUUACUGCCUUUGAGAAAUCUGACACUGUUAAACUCCUAACUUGAAGAUGCUUCACAGAGCAGGAUCCUUGCCAAAUUCAGGGCUCUUGCUAGUUGCAAGGCAAGAGAUGCCGUGUAGAAUAAACGACUACAAGCCAGUAGUCACAAUGGGAAUAAAUCCUCCAAUUUGUAGUCUCCGAAUGUCUUAAUUUCUUGAACCUUUAGAGUGAGACUGGCUUUAAGAAUAAAUUUACAAAGUAAUAUUGGAUGAGCUAUAGUUAGACCUCAGCUCCUCUGGCAGUUCUUUCUCACCCCCACCCCAACUCUGUCUCUGUCAGCAUCUAUUUGCUCUUCAUGGUAUUAAACUCAUGACAAAGAACACAGAGCAAUACUUUACUUACUAGGCCAAGGAGUAAGCUGUUCUGUGUAAGGGUUUCCCAACCAACAGUUAGCUUAGUGCUUUAUGUAUUUGAACACUUUUGACUCCUUGUUUUCAUUUAUUCUCUCUGCAUGUGCGCACAUAUGUGCCAUGCCUAUGGAAGUCAGAAGACAACGUGUGGGGGUUGGUUCUCUCCCUCUACCCUGUGGGUUCUAGGAAUUAACUCAGGUGAUCAGGCUUGGUGGCAAGUAUGUUUACCCACCAAGCCAUCUUGCCACCCAUUAAGUCCCCCACCCCCAUAUUUAUCUCAUGUGUGGUGUGUGUAUGUGUGUGUGUGUGUGUGUGUGUGUGUGUGUGUGUGUGUGAACGAGAGGACUUUUGGGAGUUCUCUCCUAAUAUAUGAGUCCCAGAUACUGAAUUCAGGCCACUGGGCUUGACAGCAAGUGCCUUUAUCUACUGGCACUAACCUCAUCUCACUGGUCUCUUUAGCAUUUUUUUUUCUCAGAGCUGAGGACUGAACCCAGGGCCUUGCACUUGCUAGGCAAGCACUCUACCACUGAGCUAAAUCCCCAACACCCCCUUUAGCAUUUUUGAGGAAGUUUUAAAAAAUAAAAUUUUUUCUCUUGCCUCAGUGGCCAGUAUAUGGUAUGACUUUGUGGUGGCAAUUCAGGAUGGCUGGGACCUUUUGAAUAACACAGUCAUGCACUGCUGUCAGAGUUCUGGAGGGAUUUACAACAUGUUGGUGGAUAUAAGUAGCUUAACUUGGUCAUAGAUUCAACUUGCCUUUAGCUUAGUAUCAUCUGUACAUCCUGCGGUUAGAAAAUCAUUCAAGAGUCUCUGUUAUCAGUCUACCCUGUUCUAAGGACAGAAAGUGUUCCAUCACUAAGACCUCAUACAAAGCAUUUCAAUAUAAAAAGGGUUCCUGACUCUCAUGAGGUACCCCGGCUGGACUUGUUUCUAUUCUAUUGACAGGCAUUGUGUUUCAGUGUUGCUAUUCCCCAGCUGUUGUAUGCCUCUAAUAUCUCUCCUCUUCCUGAAGGUUUAUGUUUCAGGUUUCCCAAUUCAGAAUGUAAGCUAUAGUAGUUAUAUUCUUUCAACCAGAGGGAUGUUAAAAUGCAAAGUAUCAGUGCCUAAACCAGAAUGACCAAAGGCCAGUCUUUGUGGGCUCUGCUUCCAAGGUCAAUGUCUUUCUGUAUUCAUAAACAGAAUAUCUGUGGCAUGUACAUAGGGUCAUAGUGUAAAGUAUCCUGGUUUCCAUGGUAAAUAAGCACAAUGUGUGUGACAGAGGGCUAAUAUCCAAAAUUUAUAAAGAACUCAAGAAAUUAAAUACCGACAACCCAAAUAAUCCAAUUUAAAAAUGGGGCAGAGAGCUAAAAAGAAUUCUCAACAAGGAAUCUCGAAUAGCUGAGACGAAUUUAAAGACAUGUUCAAAGCCCUGAGUCAUCAGGGAAAUGCAAAUCAAAACAACUCUGAGAUUCUAUCUUACACCCAUCAGAAUGGCUAAUACCAAACAUUCAAGUGAUAGCACAUGCUGGGGAGGAUGUGGAGCGAGGGGAGCACUUCUUCAUUGCUGCUGGGAGUGCAAACUUCUACAACCACUUUGGAAAUCAAUUUGGCAGUUUCUCAGAAAACUGGGAUUAAGAGUUCUACCUCAACACCCAGCUAUGCCACUCCUGGGCAUAUAUCCAAAAGAUGUUCCACAUCCUACAAAGACACUUGCUCAACUAAGUUCACAGCAGCGUUACUUGUAAUAGCCAGAAACUGGAAACAACCUAAAUGUCCCUCAUCUGAAGAAGGGAUAAAGAAAAUGUAUUCCAUCUACAUAAUGGACUACUAUUCAGCUAUGAAAAACAAAGAUACCAUGAAUUUUGCAAGCAAAUAGAUGGAUCUUGAGAAUAUCAAACUAUGUGAAGUAACAAAGUCCCAAAAGGACAUAUACAGUAUACAUUCACUUAUAAGUGGAUAUUAGCCAUAAAAUACAGUAUACCCAUGCUACAGACCCAAGGAGGCAGGAUAGGAAGGAGGGCACAAGCAAGGAUGAUUGAGCCACACUUGGAAGGAGGAAUGGAAUGGUUGUGGAAGGCAGAUGGAGGGAACUGGGUGGGAGAGGGGAUCAGGAGGGAAGUUGGGGGUUUGUGGUGGAGUAUAGAGAGGGGCAGAGGGGGGCUAGAUGGCUAUGAGAAUGAAUGGAAAUCUGCAACCAGUGGGGAGUUGGGAGGUCUCCAGGAAGAGACAGAGACCUAGGAUAGGGGAGGUUCCCAAGAAUUAAUGGGGUGUCCUUAGCUGUGAGUCACAGCAUUGGGGAUAUGGAACCUGGGGAGGCUACCUCCUAUGGCCAGGCAGGAACCUCAGUGGAGAGACAGAGGCACCAACCCACCCACAAAACUUGUGAGCCAAAGCUUACCCUGUCUAUAAGAAAUGUAGGGACUAGGGAUGGAGCAGAGACUGAGGAAUAGCCAAUCAACAAGCAGCCCAACUUGAGAUCCAUCCCAUGGGGAAGCACCAAUCCCUGACACUAUUAAAAAAAUACUGUUAUACUUGCAGACUGGAGUCUAGCAUGGCUGUCCUCUGAGAGGCCCCACCCACUAACUGAUUCAGACAGAAGCAUACACCCACAGCAAAACAGUAGACGGAGCUUGGGAACUCUAAUGGAAGAAAAAGAGAAAGGAUUGAAGCCUCUAAGGAGAUAGGAACUCUACAGGAAGACCAACAGAAUCAACUAACUAAUCACCCUUGGAGCUGAACCACCAACCAAAGAACAUACAUGGGCUUAGGCCUCCCUACAAAUAUGUAACAGAUGUGCAACUUGGUUUGCACGUGGGUCCUGACCAGCUGGAGUGGGGGCCAUCCCAAAAGCUGCUGCCUGUAUGUGGGAUACGUUCUUCUAGCGGGGCUUCUUGUCUGGCCUCAGUGGGAGAUGAAGUGCCUAGUGUUGCAAACACUUGAAGUGCCAGGAUGCGGGGAGGGAGAAGAUAACCAGGGCACCCCACCCACUCAGAGAAGGGAAGGGGUUGGGAGAUGGGGGAAGAACUGUGGGAGGGGGAAGUGAUCAGGAUAUAAAAUGAAUAAGGAAAAGAAAUGGGUACUUUCUCAAUCACUGACUCAUUUUACUGUAAUUCCUUCAGGUCUACUUCUGUUCUUCCAAUGUUGACAACUGCAUCUACUUCCUAUUGCUAUGGUAACAAUUGAGAACAAUUUUGGUGGUUGAAAAGAACACAAAUGUAUUAGUAAUUUUUCUAUUCCUCUGAUUAAAUACUAUGACCAUAAGCAACCUACAGAAGUUUCUUUUGGGUUAAGGUCCCAGAGGGAGUGCCCAUUAUUGUGAGGAAAACAUGACCAGUAGAGUAGGCCAGUAGAGUAGGAAGCUGAGAGACCACACCUCAAACACAGAGGAAGCAGGAAAAGUAGAAGUACAAAGCAGAGCAAGGCUGUAACCCCUCAACCGGCCCAGUGACGGACUUCCUCCCAGGCCACACCUAAAGGCUGUUACCUCCCAAACAUCGCCCCUAACACAUGAGCCUGAGGACAACAUUUUUCAUUCAAACCACGUCAGGAAUCUUGAAGACAAAAAUAACUGGCAGUGGACUUGAGGUGUCAGCAGCUCUGUUCACUCUGAAGGUUCUAGAUCAGUGGUUCUCAAUCUUUAAUGCAGUCCAUGUGGUGACCCACAACCAUAAAACUGUUUUGUUCCUACUUCCAUAAUGUUUUUGCUACAGUUAUGAAUCAUAAACAUGCUUUCUGAUGGUCUUAGGCAACCCCUUGAAGGGGUGGUGAUACACAGGCUGAGAACCAUGCUCUAGGGAGCUGUUGUUGACCUUUUGCUUUUUCUAGUGUCUGAAAACCACUAAGAUUUCUAAGUUUGUGACUUCUUUCUUGUAUCAGGCUAACUGACCUCUUGCUUCCAUUGCCACAUGCCUCCUUUCUUUUCUGCAGUCAAACCUCCUGUCUCCCUCUUAGACAGACAUGAGAUUAGAUGUGGAUAAUAGAAUUUCUCCAUGUUGAGAUGCACCACACUUUCAAGUUUUAUAAGCAACAUCCCUAAGUCUGGGAACAAGGACCCAAGUAUCUUGGGGAAUAUUCAGUUUAUGGCAGAGCCAAUUCCCUUGUUUUAACUCUGAAGUCUCUUCAGUCCCUGUCCUAAUUCUCUUGACAUUUCAAACUAUGGGUACUGUAGAAAGCUCCUCUUCUAAGGAGACAGUUGGAUUCCCAUUGAUGUAGUGCUUUUCCUUCUUGAAUGCAAGCCCCUGGGAGAAGGAUCUCUGGCUAUCAGGUUUGGUGUGCUAGCCCCAGUGCUUGGAACAGUGCUGGUGUUAUCAAAUCACAGCUAUCACAUAACAGAAAGUGGAUAUGCUCCUAUCUUUCCCAUUCUGUCAUCUCUCAUCCCAACCCUGGCACUUCCUCUAUUUCUGUGUGCAAAGAUGGGUAUACUCCAGGUACAUGCUCCUAAUAUGCCAAGUGGAUGAAAUUCUUACCAUACUCCGUGGCUCUUAAGUUGCACCCCAAACCUAGACCCAUAGUUUGGACUUUAGAUUUUAAUCUAUUCCUGAAAGUCCCAUACUAUGGCAGAUUAACCGUGUUUCAUGUUCUCUAGCACAAACACAACCAAAGCCUAACUUUCUUACCCACCCUCCGUCUCAGGGAAUAAGUACCUAGCUUUAUUCAACAACCAAAGCAAAAACACUGACCAUCCACUGAGCCCUCCCAAACCUCUAUCACUGCCUUCCUAAAAAUCCAAUCAGCCAUGAAUUCUGUCAACCUGCCUUAAAUUCUUGAAAAGUUUUCUGCUGAAUAUUCUGGUUCAAGUCUUCUCUAUUUCUCUAAAGUGGGAUAUAAACGAACUGACCACACUGACUCUCUUGACUUUGAUGAACAUAUCAAAAUGACACACUUAAAUGUUUUUGCACGAAUACCAGUUACUGGUCACUAUUUCCUGCCCUGCUUCCAUUUUCUGAUGCAUGAACAGGGACUAUGAUCGUGGUCUGCAUGCUACAUGAUCUUGGUUACCACACCAACUGGGCCAGGGACUUACCUCUGUCCCAAAUGUGGCUUCUCUCAGUUUUAGUUAACCACCUUACAAACCAGGUGGCUGGUUGUAAAAUAUGAAGAAAAUUUCUCAAAGUUGAGAAGAUGAGCGGAGUUGGCCAUAAGCUGCUCAGAGCUUUGUAAUGUUGAAAGGACAUCUCAGAGGAGCCUGGAGAGAAUGAAAGAAAAGGACGCCUGGGCACUGUGCCAGGGCAGUAACCGUUUCCCAUGGCUCAUAACAGCAUGCUGAAUUGUGAUUUCUGUUGUAGAUGCCCAUGAAGUUGUUACAUUAUUAAACCCAAACCAACCCCAUACCCUCCUUUGAGUGAAUCUAGUUUUCUCAAAUGUGUCCAAGCUGUGUUUCCUUAAGUCCUUAGCACCUUACAGGGAGGGACUGCAUGACUGAGAGCAGCAGCAGAAGGACCCUCCUGAUCCUUCUUAAAGGAUUAGUUAAAGGGAAAGAAAAAGGGAAGCUGCAUCACUUGGAGGGUAGACGUUGAGCCUAUGCUGUAAUCUUUACAUAAGUGCACACUGGUCCACAGACAGUAUGUCAGACAAGUACCUGUUGCUACAAAUAUCACAGGAAAAUGCCUGUAGGGACAUGCUGAUACUUGUCAACAGCGCAUAAUCAAAUUGUUAUUUAGAUACCUCAGUUCAAGGCAUCUACCUUUCUUUCUCUUACCAGCUACUGGGACCAGAGGAAUAUCAGGAAUCUUUAACACAUAAACCAUCUCUGUCUCAAGUGGAAGUUCACAGGAUGCCUGUAAGGAAACGCCUCAUCCGAGGACUUGCAUCAAUCAGAAGACAUCAGUUUGUCUCCAGCACCUGCUGCUCAAGUUUCAGAAGCUGUGUUUCAAGCUUUGAGUAUUACAGGUAUCCACAGUGGACUAAUGUUCUACCUGAGGCAUAGGCCUCUCUGCUGUUUGUACUGUUCAACUGCCCUGUGGGAAAGGUGGGGGAGAACACAGAUUGGCAGUUAUUAAAGGUCUCUUAGUCACUGUGCCUGAGAGUCUAGCCACAGGUUCUCUCCUGUGAGCUGAAAAUAGAUUCAACAUUGCUGCUGCUCAGGAACACAAAGAACUGAGCUCAUAAUAUCAAAGAAGCACAAUUGGGUCACCUUUGUCACAGACUGGAAGAAAGUAAAAAAAAAAAAAAGCAUAAAACUGGAUUUAGAAUGUGCUUAGAGAAAAUUCUGAAGCCUAACAAUAAAGAUGGUGACUCCUGCUGUUUCAAGUCCAGUGCUACUCAGAGGCUCGGAUCCCCUAAAAGAGAAAGGGAAACUGGCCUUGCAACACUACUGAGGCAGACUUCAUUGGUCUUCAUGGCAGAAUCAAAUACAACAAGGGGGAGGACUAAUCGAACCAAUUCAGCCUUCCUUGAAGCAAGAGAGAGAAGAAACUUAACCUUCUAGCAUUUUCCUGAGAAGCACUGAAGGGCACACCAUGAAAGCACCUGAUUAUAGUACAGGAAGAUGCUAUGGUUGUUUGAGCCUUUAUUAAGGAUUAUUCAUUUCAGCAUGACGAACGGCACAGGUUAUGGCUGCACAUCACUUAGGUAGGGCUCCUGGAUCUUUCAAACACGGUAUGUAUCUGAUUAGGGAAACAACAUUGUUCUCGCUUGGGUAGAGAAACUGACCUUCACUGACCAGAAUUUUAUUCAUACAAAGAGUCCUCUGGCACACCAAAGCUCCAAGCUCACAUAAUCAUUCAUCAGCAAGCUGCAGUGUUAGUUCAUGUGCAAAAUCAAGAACUCUAUAUAAGCCUAGGUACCGCCUUGGUUAUUAACAGAUAAUGUUGGAGCUUCUGCACAAGACUAUAAUGUAAAUUUAAUGCUGAGCUGACAUUAACCAAAUACUAUUAUCAUAUCUCUUGCUGAACCUAUGUUCUCUAAAGAGAGCUAGCUCAAGGCUUCCGUUUACUCAUUUGUGCCAUGUGAGAAGUUAAAUGCUCCACUUCACGUGCAUUACCAUCUAGGUAUAGCAUUUCUAUUUUUACCCAAAUGAAAAGAAACACACACCUCUUUUUGGGAACAAGCCCCCCAUUUUAGGAUACUGAAAGUUAUAUAAUCAGAUGAGGCUGCUGAGGUGAUGACUCAGGUCACUGGGUUCUGCCUAACCUAGGGACAUAGGGAUAAAUGAUGCCCCCUGGCACUCCUCUUUGAGUUUGCAACCUGCUGUAUGUGAACCGCACUCCCUUCUGAAUAAAUCGGAAUCUAACUUAAUCUUGGGUACAAGAACAGGAGAGCUAUGGCAGGGCACUUGUGCAGCUGAUGUGACGAGGAAAGGCACCACGGUAUGGACAGGGACGAAACCUAAACUUCUCAGUAAGCAGGUACUCAGAGGCAUCAAUUCCGAGGGGGGCAGGAAGUGAGGCCUCAAUCUACUAUGAAGGUGGACUCUCAGGUGCUGUUUCAGUCCUUCAGCCCCACAGCUACGGCACCUGCCUGGGAACAGGCAGGACGCUAUGGCAAGGAUCCUGCUACCUACUUGUGGGCUGCUAUACACAACACACUGCUCAGUUUCACUCUAACUACGCGGUUUCCAGUGAGUUUGGGGACUUCAUCUUUGAUAUGGUUGUGCCAUGUGAACAAUACACAUUCACUCAAGGCUUCCUUGGCUCCCCUCAGACCAUGGAAGAGAGAUCCAGAUAGCUCUGUUUCAAGUCCUUUGGUACCACGUUCAGUUGCAUUUACACAUAAUCAGUCUGCAAGAACAUUUUGAAAAUGUCCUUUGACUGUUUGAAGUUCAGAACUUGUCUAUACAGUAAGUUGCAACUUUAUUAAAAUAAUAAUUUACAUACCUACCAUUUAAUACAUGAACAUCCCUUCUAAUUCUCAGUAAAAUGAAGCCAUUAUAUUUUCCUUCAUCUAUCCUGGUGGUUGGUUUAUUUCUUUCCAAAUAAAGCUCACAUCAACUUCAUACACGAUAUACAAGCAUAAAGAAUUCUAGAUGGAGUUAUGGAUUCAGAAGGGUGAUUAUUAAUUGAGGUAAAAGUUAUAUCAUGCUUUAUAGUAUUAGCAAACUAAUGACCAUUUACUCAUUUGUUCCACAGUGAUGAGGAAAUAAACAGUUCAAAGCAAUUAAGAGAUGAUCCUCAUUGAUGAAGAGCUAAAAGUAUUGUCAGAAUAUUAACAUGCACAGACAGGUAAACAAGGAAGACAGGAGGUAUAACAACAGGGGCAUAGCAAAUGCUUCAAGAGAAAGGGAAGGAUGAGUACCAUGGGCUAAAGUGGGGGAUAGUGUCACAAAAGGAUUUUAAAUCACUUAGUGUUUAUGGACAUGUAAACAAAAUAGGAAGCACUCCAAAUUUUGGGUUGAAUACUUGACACAAAUUUUGGGGAAAAUGUGAAUUGAGCAAAGAGAUGAAGACUAGUGGAAAUAAGCGGGGAAGUUCCACGAUGGGACUUCAGAGAACUUUUAAUAGUUGUCAAGCCAAGUGUGAUUUGUCAUGUACAUCUUCGAAACCACUGAUAGGUUUGAAUGAUUUAUUUCCAAUAUUUUGGAAGAUUAACUUGUUAGUAGUUAGAGCAUCAUUGAGACUCAAGUGGGCAGUGACAUAUAUAGGUUUGGUACUCAUGUGAAUAGCCAGAGCUAGUGAUAAAAAUUAGUUUUUGUUGGUGUAAAGAUUGUAUCUGCAGCUAUGUAACUAGAGAUGAUCUCAGGACAGAAAAGGAGGGCUCAACAUAGAUCUUUGCAGCAAUGCAACUUGUAGUGAUUGGGUAGAGAGAAGCCAGGACAAGCAGCACAACCACAGGAAAGAGGAAAGCCAGAAAGUAUGUCACCACAGAGGCGGGGGUGGGGGGUAGGGAGGGUUCCAGAAUGAGGGAGCAGUCCACCACCCAGCAGUGAUGUGGGCUUGUCUAGAAUGGGACAGUGAAACACCACACAAACCGGAAGCUAUGUGUCUAACGCUGCUCCAAAGGCACUAACCCUAUAACUAAUGUGCUACUGAACCACAAGCAUGACUGGUUCCUGCCUAACUGAACAAGUUAAACGAUAUUUUGGGUCUGGACAGAGAUAGCUGAUGGGAGGAAAAGAGUGGAGAUUAAAGUUGACUAUCUUAAAGUGACUACUUAAAGGGGACAGUACAUUUAAAAAGCUGUAUAAGUCAAAACAAUAUAGCAUCAAAGCUUAAUUAUUGGUUAUGAAAUAAUUCUAAGAGGCAUUUUAUAAAUAAUGACUUUUUUCCCUGAAACUUUGUUUUUAUUGCCCCAGCAGAAGACUUUAACAUCCUUAGCAACAGGUGUUUCAGAAGUGAGAAACUGCAGGACUGAAAAAAUACUUCAGAUACAGCUGAACAUUUUUCAGACUGUGAACACUACUUAUAAGACUGGACAGCAAACACCUUGACAUGAGGUCAUGGCUUAAUUCACUCAGAAACUUUCAGAAAAUUACAAACCAGGACACCCAAUCUGACCUUUUCAAAAAUAAUUUUUUUAUUUACAGGUUUUAAACAAAGGACAAUCCCCUUCUAGUGGCCCUUUCUCUGCUGUUCUCAUUUUAUGGGUAGAAAAAGUAGUCAUUACUAUAAUGUUAAUGAUUUCCUCAAGCUGUGUCUAUCAGAACAGAAGCCCACUAAGGAAAGUGUUAAGUUGACAUUAUUAAUCACCUUAUCAAGUAGAUCUGAAUAAAUUUGCUGGAGAGAUCAAAAUACUUUUAAAUAAACACAGUUUACACUCAAUAUAUCAAUCAGGGAAAUUAAGCAUAAGCAGGAUAAUUGCUCAUUUACAGCUAUGACUCUGUCUUCAUGUAGAGUUUACAUAAGGAUGCUGUGUUUGAGGUCAAUGCUAGCAGCAAACCACUGAAGUGAGAACAGGACCCCUUGGGGGAAUUAGAGGAAGGACUGAAAAAGUUGAAGGAGUUUGCAACCCCAUAAGAACAACAAUGCCAACCAACCAGAGCUUCCAGGGACUAAACCACUACCCAAAGACUAUACAUGGAUUGACCCAGGGCUCCAACUGCAUAGGUAGCAGAGAAUAGCCUUGUUGGGGCACCAGUGGAAGGGGAAGCCCCUUGGUCCUGCCAAGGUUGGGCCCCCCAGUGCAGGGAAUAUGGGGGCGGCAGUGUAAGGGGGAUGUGUGGGGGGAAUACUCAUAUGGGGGAGGGGGAGUGGGAGUGGGAGGGGAAGGGGGAGGGGAGGGAAUGGGGGCUUAUGGACAGGAAACCGGGAAGGGGAAUAACAUUUGAAAUGUAAGUAAAGAAAUAUAUCUAAUAAUUUUUUUUUAAAAAAGGAAUGCUGUGUUUGAAUUCCCUGGAUUUUUUUUAACUUUAAUAUAUAUAUACAUAUUUAUUUAUUUAUUCAUUCAUUCAUUCAUUCAUUCAUUCAUUCAUUUAUUGGUGAGGAUUUCACAAAGAUAGAUCCCAAAGAGAAAUACAACUGCCACUAACAUGUUCUAAGGCACAGGAAAACUCAUCUCUUUGAGCCUUAGUUUUGCCAACUGUGAAAUGGAAAUUCUACUACUUGUCUUGACCUCUCAUUUUCCAGAGACUCAAGAGAAGCAUGUUCACAGGUUUUUGGUCUCAAAUGUCCUUGUGAUCCAAGAAAGAGCAAUCCCACUGUGAAGCAAGCAGGGGACUGGUCCAUGCCUGUACAGGGCUUUGAACAAAUUCCUAUCUUUGGAAGCUGACAAUCCGCUGCCCUUUGGAGAGGCCCAGAAUUCCUUGUGAAUCCAUGCACGGUGUAACUACACUUGCUUACUGUCAAUCGUUUCCUCUCUCUUUACUCAACUCGGAAGCAGUGGUUUCUGAAACCACCGCACUGGGAAGUGGGAGCUGACCCCAGAUGGUCUGGCACUCAGCUGGGAACUGUUUAAUCACAGGAGUUAAACAUACUAUUAGACAUACUUAAAAUGUUAUGUUAAAUGACAUGAAUAGCCUAUUCAUCUCGGCAUUCUUCCUCUCAUGCAGAAGCACCGCUGCCUUUGCCGUGACCUGUGGUAAGUGCAGGCAAGUGUUUUAGAAUCUUUAGAACUUAUCAGUCACUCCUUCCAGAUCAUUACUUCAGAGGAGUCUACUUCAGAAUGGGACUGGUGCAUGUGACAGUGUCAAGAAAAGGUUUCUAAGAAAACAUCUAGCUAAGAAAACAAAACCAACGCUAAUCAAGAAAAGUCAUGCACUCCACAGAAUGUGCCCCAUAGUGUCUAGGAGUAGUCCAGAGGGACUUCUGGACCAAUUAUCACAAUGGGGUUUGCACGUGCUGACUUCCUCCUUCUAGUCUCCAUCCCAAAGAUGCUGAACCAGCAACUGGCCUAGAGCCAGAGCAGCACAGUCCAAUUCAGAGUGUGUAACAAUGUUCAGUUCAGUUAUGACAUAAUGGCUGCAAACCCAUUUCUGAAAGCACAAAAACCUAAAUAAUGUGGUUAGCUUAUAUUGGACAGAAGGGUUUAACAGAGUUUAAAAACCAAUUUGAAAAUUCCAUCCUCCCAUAAAGAUAACAUUAAGACUGAGGGCAAAACCAUCCAGUUCAAGGAAUGGGAACAAAGUGCAUAAAGAAUUAUGCAGACUCUUUCUGACAUUUAUCCUCCUUACCCAACAUGACCUUGUUCCUCUGAUAUUUAAUACUGACUCGGAAAGAAGACAGUUUCAUUAAAACAUUUUAGUCACAUUACGCUAACAUAGUAAUAUCAGUUUCAUUGCUAAAAACAAGUUUGCAAUUCAAAAUGUCUUCCAUUUGUCACUAAUAUUCUAUUCAUUUCCAAUUUAUCUGACCACACAAGACCUGCAAGGUAUUUUGUUGCAAAUCCAAUAAUUCAUUAGUCUUUCACUAUCGCUGUCAUAAGCCUGCCUGUACAACAAAGGGUCUAAUUUGAACACUGAGCACUGUCCACUUUAGGCCCUGGCCUGAGCUGUGGAAGAUUCUAUACUCUUCUGAGUCUUCUUCUGUUCUUCCACAACUACUAGUAGAAUAUUUUGAUACCUUGGAACUGAAAAGGGGCCUUAGAUAAGGAAACCAUGCUUAAUUAUUUUGUACAAUAUUUUGUUUAUUCCUAUUUUUUCCUUAAACAAGGGCAUAUGCUUAUAUGUUUUGUUUCAGGCUAUUUUAAGGUUCAUAAGAAAAAAGGAGUAAGUUUCAGACAGAAAAUUCCUAGUAUAAAAAAAGGUUCUAAUCUUUAAGUCUAACAAGAUUCCCAUUAGUUUCUAUUUUAACAUGAAGACCUUUCUCCAUGUGUAUAUUUCAGAUGGCCUCAGCUGACUUUCUAUAAAGUAAUAUAAUAGUUUCUUUCUCCUAGCUUACCAAAAACAUAUAUAUUAAGAGGAAAAAAAAUAACUCAAUGUCAUGUCCUUCUCUCCUGACUGAACUAAAAUCCAUUUUCCUAUUAUUUUGUUAUUUAUAUGAGAAAGUACUGGAACAAUCAGAGGAAGUUUAUGUUUAUAGCUGUAACACUCUGGCUUUAGAUGCAGUCAAGUUCAUAGACUGCAGCAGUAUGUAGCCCUUCACUCUGUGUGUGUGUGUGUGUGUGUGUGUGUGUGUGUGUGUGUGUGUGUAAUACAAUAAUACAAUAAAUGUAAUUUAUAUAUAAGCUCUGAACUUUGAACUCCAUCACAAUGUUGUAAAAGAAAGAAAAGAAAAAACAAACACAAAAAACUAACUGUGAAUUUUCUUUCUUUUUUUUUUUUUUCGAGCAAUUUAGUUUAGAUCAGUAACAUGACAGGUCCUUGAGACAGGAUCUUGAGAUAGGAUCAAACUAAGAUGCUGGUGGCCUGGUAAGUUAGUAAUCAGGUUACCUUUGUAACUAAUUCUUCAAAUAUUUGUGGAACAGAUAUUUGGGUGAAGCACGGUAAGUCUGGAAGGAGUGUAGACAUAAAGAGCUGCUGGGCCCAGCAGCCUGCGUAUCCCACUCGACAAAUGCUCUACAACUUCCCAGGUAGAUCUGCUUAGGGGGCAGUUUGGCGACACUCUGUGGAUGUCCAACUAAGCCCUUCCCUGGUUCAAGCUGCCAGUGAACACAUUACUUCUAACCACAGUCCCUGGAAGGUGACUUUUGUUCUUAUUCUUUUCUCUCUGCUGCUUUCCCAGAGAUGUUUUCAUGUUCUCUGCAGGUAGACUUCCCCUGAGGGACACUGCCUUUUCGUGUCCAUGGCGUGAACUGAGUGUAUACAGUGAGUCAGGUACUAGAAACAUAAAAGUGAUUAUGACACUGUCCCUGCCCUUAGGGAACUUGGGGCAGAGGGAAGAUUCACAACACAACGGCACAGUGAGGAAGACUAAGAGGUAAAGUAGCCACUACUGCUGAUGCUAUGAUGUUAUGUGCUGGAUACGUUGAGCAGGUUCAAGUGUCAGAAGCUCCACCUCCAAUAUGGCAAUGGUGAGGUAACAGAACCUUUAAGAAGUAGAGCCUAGAAGAUAUCUGAUCAUGGGAAACUAUGGCAAAUAAAAGGGAAGGGGAGUUAAUAUUGCUUCUUUCUGAACAUGGUAAGUUCCCUUCCUAGUUUCCUAGUGUGAUGGCCAUAGCCAGGGGACCCUUGCCAAGACUUUUGCAUCCAUGUAUUGACAUUUUGCAGCGUCUAGAAUCAUGAGCUGAAGACUGAUACUUUCUAAAUACAGCAGAUAUUUUAAAUUCUGCUUACAUCUCUGGGAAGUUAGCUCUUGAAUAAGAAAUAGAAUGAAAAGAGAGUCCAGUCUUUGUGCUUCCUGAUCCCAGUGCCUACCAGCACAGGAAUAGGGUUCGGGAGGUACAAUCAUAUACCUAUGUGAAUUAGCCACAGAUUUUCAUUUUACAUAUUUUCCCCGAAUAACUUUUUUCCUGGAACUUGCUAGCUAUACAAAGGGAAGAGAUAAUAGAAGCUCAUUCAGUCCUGCUACUUGUAGAGCCACACGUACCUGAUCCAGAGGGUAUCCCCCUUCGAAAUAAUUGCGAACAGGAAUAAAAUUUCAUUCAGGAACUAUUCCAUCUGGCUUUUGGUUUCCUCUGAUGUAUAUCCCUUGAAUAAAACAGUGCAAAAAAAACCCCCUAGAUUUUCAAUAAGAAACAUAAAACUCCUCACCACUUCACACCACAUCACCUCAAUGUCUUACUGUGUUUGAAAUCCCAAGUACAAGCACUUGUAACUAAAUAUAUUGGUCAGCUAGAAUAUAUACAAGAUAUGAAAUACAAAAACUUUAAUUAAAACAAACUUAUUUGACGGGAUCUCUCCACAGUGCCUCUGGGUACAGUGUUCCUGUGAGUACAAUACAGCCAACCAAUUGGAACAAAAUAGCAACACAGCCCAAUAAAUUCUCCAAGUUGGAAAAAUAUUCAUUUGUAUUACUUACCUGCCAAUAGUCUGUCUAAAUAAAACUACAGAGCUGCAUAUUCCUCUAGCAAGAGACAAACAUUAUUGAUCCUUUUCUGGCAGGUAGCGUCAAGUGGUCCAGAGCAAACAAAGAAUAUUUGGGGGCCUGUUUAAAGUAACCCAGAGAUUUUAAUUUCACAACUGGGCCUUUCUGGUCCCAGGCAAUUCCUCAGUAAAGCAGGACCCAGGAUUAGGUUUCAACAUCUCGCAUAGAACCAUGAUUAGUUCUGCUUUAUCCCAGAGAAACAAUAACUCAGCAUUUUCCAAGACAGACUUGUUCCCAUGCCUCUGCUGCUGCUGGUUGUUUGUUGAAACAAGGUCUUACUGUCUUGAGGGCUGGUCCAGACUUGAGAUCUGUCAGCCUAAACCACAGGGUUGGGACUAGAGGCAAAUACCACCACCUUGCUGUUUCUCUUGCAUUUUAUUCUCUGCCUUUUACCCAUGAUACACCUCAUGCAUAUACUUCUAAAUAUUUAUAGAGAACAUCAUGUGCAUUUUAAAGCUAUUCCACAAAAUAUUAAUAAAUGAGAUGGUUGUGGCCUCUAAGAGCCAUCUCAACUCCUUCAGUGUCCAACCAAGACAGCUGGAGGGAGUGACUGGUUAACCAAUGUUACAGGAGCCCAUCUUAGGUUGAGCAAUGUACUACUAGUGUUGGAAUAUAACAUAGUCUAAGCUGCAUCGAUAUUUAAGAAACUGAGAAUCUUUGGGUCACGCUAGACCUCACAGAGUUUUGGUUUGUUUUUUUAAAGAGCACUAAAAGAGUUUUAUAUAAACAUGAUUAAUAAGAAUAAGGGUAAAGAUAGGAAAAAAAUCCACUUAAAGAGAGCCUUAGACACAAUUGGAUACAUAUUCACAUUAGUGGCAACUCUCAGAGGCUUUUCUACUUUUGGUCUUACUAAAAAUUGUAUAAGUUGGUGUUUGUCAGGGGUGAGUGACAUGGCUAAGUACUUGUUGGGAACUGUGAAGUCUGAUUUAUUCUUUUAUUGUCCACAUGCCCAGAGGGCCGCUUCUACCCAAUAAAGCAAAGAUGGGGUCCAGACAGCGGGGUCCGGAGGGGCUCAGCACUCACAAUGUUCCCUCAUGCACUUUUCAACCUUUUCACCCCAAUUAAAGGUCAACAUGGCUGCUCAAAACCACUUAUUUAAAAAGGCAGUCAACUCAGCAGGCUGUCAAGUGUGAUAUUGCCACUUCAUAGAAUUCAAUUAAACCCGGGACCAGGGCAUCUGUGAAUCACUGGAAGAAGCAUGAGUUAAGACAUUUUCUGCUUUCUUCGAGAAGCUGUAUUUUUCCCUUCUGUCAUUUAUUCAGUUCCCAGAGUGCCACCACAGGCGCGCGUUUACAAUCUCCCCCCAGUGGCUCAGGGAUUUAUAGCUCCCGGCUUAAUUAAAUCCCCGCUAACUGCAAUGGAAGUCUACAUCGGCGCCGCACUGCGGAGGGCUCGCGGCCUUUUCCGGCGGGACGAGCUAACACCCGGGCACUUGGAGUGCUCACCGUAGCGCCGGCGCCAUUACCCACCUCAGCCUCAGGCAGUCAAGCCGCCGCUUCCGCCCGCCGCACUUCCGCUGCGCGCCGCACUUCCGGCCCACGGGCGCCGCCCUGCCUCUUGGGCUCCUUCCUCCUGUGUCGUCCUCUCUCUCGUGGGCCUGUUGCUCCUGAGUCAUAGUACGUGAAGAGAAAGCCCAGUUAAAAUGUAUUGAAAAGAAAGAAAAGAGAAAAUGAAAAAGGAAAGAAGGGAAGGAGGGAAGAAAUAGAGAAGAGGCUCUGUGUGUUUAGGAAACAGCAUUUUGAGACUGGCCAUUUUAACCAUUCCUGAUAUGUGUUCAUUCAUUUAUUAAGAUAGAAAAUAGCAUAUUGGAAUUUCAUUUCUGCUGCCAGUACCUGUGGGCUCAUCGCUGAAAUAAAAGCACUUUGUAUUCAGUACUUAAAAGAAAAAAGAUAAAACAGGCAGGUUCUACUCUAACUGAGCUCACCAACUGCUCAUCACCAGGCUUAAGAAAGCAGAAAAAGACACUAACUCACUCCAUGGAUAGAUGAGGAACUAGAAACCCAGAAGAAGGAAGAGACUUCACCACAACCACAAAAGGAGCUAAGAAAAGAAGGGAAGGCUGCAAUGAAGGCGUUUAAUUAGUCAAUUAAACUGGCAUCGCCUUUUUAAGAGGAGAAAUCAUUUAAAGAUUUUUUUUUUGUGUUUGUGGCAGAGAACAUAUUUUGAUCAUAAUGACCAAAUAAUGUUUCAAUCAUUCAUGUUAUUUUUGCUGCCAAGGCUGCCUGGAUAUAAUCUUUAAGCAUCAUGAUGGUGUAAACCUACAAAAUAGAGUAAUCGGAUUUCAAAACUGGUUUAAAAUUAGUUUCCAUGUAUUUCAAAGAACUCAUUUAGUAAAUAAAUAAAAAUGCAGCAAGUUCUAAGUUGUUGGGGGGAAAUACUAGGAAAGGAAAAAAAUGAAGCUAAUGAAGCUCAUCAGUGGAUUUUGACAAAAACCUUUCAAAAUUGGCAGGUGGCAUGUAGAAGCUCCAUGUUGUAUGAAGGCAGCCAACACUGCUCCUUCCUUUCCUCUAGUUUUGGGAUGGAUACAUGUUAUUGAAGAAUCUUUCUCAAAAAUAAAAACCAUGACAUAUGCACUGGACUUUAAAAUCCCUGUAUCCCCAAAAUACCAAGAAAGAGUCUUAAAAAAAAAUAAGGAUACAGUCUAUUGCAUUCUUCUUAGUUCCACAAUGUUAUCACUUUUAGGGAGACUAUAUCUUCUUUGUUCCUCAUAGCACGAUAAAGUAAAAAUCAUCUUAAAAUAUUUA